rnacentral:sRNA from 1 species
GACACAGUGAGUGGCACUUGCUUGUAGUCCCAGCUACUUGGGAGGCUGAGGCAGGAGGAUCACUUGAGCCCAGGAGUUUGGGGUUCUCCUGGGCAACACGGAGACCUUGUAUCCU